rnacentral:rRNA from 1 species
UACAGAGGGGGCAAGCGUUGUUCGGAAUUACUGGGCGUAAAGGGCGCGUAGGCGGCCUUCUAAGUCGAACGUGAAAUCCCCGGGCUCAACCCGGGAACUGCGUCCGAUACUGGAAGGCUUGAAUCCGGGAGAGGGAUGCGGAAUUCCAGGUGUAGCGGUGAAAUGCGUAGAUAUCAGGAGGAACACCGAUAGCGAAGGCAGCUCGCUGGGACGGUAUUGACGCUAAGGCGCGAAAGCGUGGGGAGCAAACAGG